AUGGAAUCAGAGAUUAAGACAGCAAUCAAUAAAAGUGUAAUGUUUUAAAACAUUUUAAGUUUUUAAAUUUCCCACCUGUAUUUCUAUUCAAAAGGUCCCUGUAAAUAUGCCAUUCAUGCACUAUUAUCGUUUAUGUAUAUAUACUGUAACGUGUACAUAUAUUGGAUAAUUUUUAAGGUUGAGGUCAAACUUCAUAUGGAGGUGCUCCAAAUUAAAGGAGGCUUAUACUAAGAAAAAUAAGUUUACUUCCGGUUUACUGUUUGGGAAUACAUUACAAGGAUAUUAAUCGAAGGACCAGUUUAAAAUCUUUUCACAAAAUGGCGUCUUGUCAAUAUAAACAUUCAAAGAAUUUAGUGUUUCC
rnacentral:lncRNA from 1 species